CAGCCAGUUUGGCAACUAGGAAGGCAUUACUGGGUCAGAAUUUAGGGAAUUAGGAAAUACUUACGACCAUGAUGAUGCAUCGUGGGGCUUCUCGGAUGACGACUGUUUCCACUAAUACCUGCCUGUUCUGUUCCCCACCUUCACACGCACGAGAAAACAGAAAUUUUGACAACUGCUCACGGAUUCCUGGAGAUGUCUGGUGACAGUCAUGCUUCUCACCUCCAGCACCAUGAAUUGCUCCUCAUCAUUCAUAGUUCACUCAC